GAAUAAUACAUGCUGCUACAGAACGUAGGUGUAAUGUAUUAGAAAAGACAAAUCUUUUCACACACACCCCUGGUUCCUCUUCUUCUUAAGAAAAGAAACUAAUUGGAUUUUAAGACUGGAAUUUUUGACACUAGGAGAACUUAAUGGAAAUAUAUGCAUAUUGUGCAUGGAUGGAACAGUCCAUCUGGUUGCAUGUUUGGUUGCAUGUUCAGUGUCUUGGCAGGGGUGGUUCAAGCAUUACGCCAACUAUGCAGUUGCUGAAUGCGCAGUCCUCUGGGGGCCGCAAUUGAGGCACCUCCGGUUCAGCUGAGAGAGGGAGAGGGAGAGCUCCAGCCACCUCCACCUCCCAUUUGGCAUGCAACAGCUGUUGGUUGCUGUGGGAAAGAGCUCCAUCCUCACCCGGGAAGCCUUCGCGGAGCUGCUGGCGCUGGACACGGCAGUGCGGGGGCUGCGGAGCAAGACAGGACUCUCCUUCAAGGAGGUCGGCUCGAGGAGCAGCCCCGUGGGUGGCUAUGGGGCCUGAAGCAGAGAAGGCAGCAAGAGCAGGCAGGAGAAGGGGUGCCCAAAAGUCCGAUGUGAAUGCACUGCCAGAUAAUCUGGAUAAAUAGAAAACCUGGGAUAUAGGGACUGUCUGGAAGGGCCCUGGGUUAUAUGGCAGUGUGAACUGAGAUAACCCGGGGCCCUUCCACAGAGCCAUAUAACCCAGAAUAUCCAAUCAGAAAAUCCCACAUUAUCUGCUUUGGACUGGAUUAUAUGUCAGUGUGGACUCAGAUAACCCAGGGCUCUUCCACACAGCCAUAUAACUCAGAAUAUUAAAGCAGAAUAACAGACAUUAUCUGCUUUGAAUUGUAAUAUAUGGUAAUGUGGACUUAGACAACCCAGGGUCCUCCCACACAGCCAUAUAACUUCGAAUAUCAAGGCAGAAAAUCCCACAAUAUCUGCUUUGAAUUGGAAUAUAUGGCAGUGUGGACUCAGAUAGUGUGCUCUGAGUGUGCUCUGAUUUCUCUGGGAAGGGAGUUCCAUAGUCGAGAGGCCACCACUAAGAAGGUCCUGUCUCUUGUCUGCACCAAUCGCACUUGCGAAGGAGGCGGGACUGAGAGCAGGGCCUCCCUAGAAGAUCUUAAGCUCCUGCUUACCAGUGCCGCCAGUGAGAUUUCAUCCCAGGUAAACUCCCUUGCAGUAUCGCCCUUGUCUUGAUCCCCUUCCAUGCAGCUGUAUAAAAUCUACAUUGAACUGGAUUAUAUGGCAGUGUGAACUCAGAUAAUCCAGUUCAAAGCAGAUAUUGUGGAUUGUCUGCCUUGAUAUUCUGUGAUAUUUGGCUGUGUGAAAAGGCCAUAGGGCCCCUUCUACACUGUCAUAAAAAUCCAGAUUAUUUGAUUUGAACUGGAUUAUAUAGCAGUAUAGACUCAUAUAAUCUAGUUCAAAGCAGAUAAUGUGGAUCAUCAGUGUUAUGAUUGAGCCUCAUGGCUCUGCUUCUGGCAGACGUGGACGUAAGACUCCUCGAGAGUCAGAUACUCUCGAGGAGCGAGAAAGAAAGAGGCUGCGAGAUAUCUUUGCAGAACCAUCUGACGAAGAGUCUUUUAAGGGGUUCACGGAGAGAAUGGAGGAAGAGCUGGUUAGCUCGGAAGAGGAUGAGAUGGAUUGGACUCGGGUAAGGGAGGAGUUGGGUGCCACUGGCAAUAAUGGGAUGGAAGAUGAAUGGGGACCUUCAGGAUUAGACCCAUGGACAAGCUGGAGGGAUGGGACGGGAUCCACAGCUGGGGAUGCUGUGGGGCGUAGUCAGAGGUGUUCCAGCUCUGAUGAGGAAAGUGAUGAGGAAACGCCCGGGUUAAGGAGGGCAGCUGAUAGUGAUGAGGAUUUGUAACUGGCAUAAAAUGAGGCUUGGGAGCAAUUGCAAAUUGCGUUGGGCAAGGUAAUCUGGACGAACGCUUGGGAUCUGUGUGGGACGCUUUCCUGAAGACUGGUGUGUUUUCGUGUGCUGAUACCUUUGACCUUCCGUCGUCUUCUUGACGGACGCCAUCUGCUACUCUGGAUUUACGGACUGAAAACUGACUACGGGCUCGCUUUCUCCUAUUGAACUUGGAAAACUGCAAACGUCUGAUUCUGCCUCUCGACCUACGGAACAAACUGGGACUACGCUACUGCUUCAAUCCUUGGCUGCUGAGUUUGUAUUGGAAAUUUGCCUUGCUGUGUGAAGGAGUGACUCCUAGUUACUCAAAACAUAGUGCUGGCAGCAGAGAGGCAUCUGCUGCCAAUUAGUUGCAUUCUUUUGAACUCUUUGUUUCCCAGCUUCUGUUUGUUUAUCCCCAGGCUGAAGCAAGCUGUUUUGAUUUUACCCGGAUUAAACUCCGGUUUAAUCCGGUUUAUCUUUUGAAUGUUUUUCUUGCCCCUUUUUGUUUUUAAAGGCUAAAGUUGCCUUGCCCUUGUCUUUUACGGGCAUUUUGAGUUCUGUAAAUCCAAUAAACUCUGUUAUCUUUGA